rnacentral:rRNA from 1 species
UACGGGGGGGCAAGCGUUGUUCGGAAUUACUGGGCGUAAAGGGCUCGUAGGCGGCCAACUAAGUCAGACGUGAAAUCCCUCGGCUUAACCGGGGAACUGCGUCUGAUACUGGAUGGCUUGAGUUUGGGAGAGGGAUGCGGAAUUCCAGGGUGUAGCGGUGAAAUGCGUAGAUAUCUGGAGGAACACCGGUGGCGAAGGCGGCAUCCUGGACCAACACUGACGCUGAGGAGCGAAAGCCAGGGGAGCAAACGGG